rnacentral:rRNA from 1 species
AGAGUUUGAUCCUGGCUCAGAACGAACGCUGGCGGCGUGCUUAAUACAUGCAAGUCGAACGUGAAGCCUUGGCUUGCCAAGGUGGAAAGUGGCGAACGGGUGGGUAACACGUAAAUCAUCUACCUCUAAGUUUGGGAUAACCUUGCCAACGCGGGGCUAAUACCGGAUGUGGUCACGAAAACGCAUGUUCUUGUGAUUAAAGAUGCAAAUCGCUUAGAGAUGAGUUUGCGGCCCAUUAUGCUUGUUGGUAGGGUAACGGCCUACCAAGGCUGCGAUGGGUAGCCGGCCUGAGAGGGUGAACGGCCACAUUGGGACUGAGAUACGGCCCAGACUCCUACGGGAGGCAGCAGUAGGGAAUUUUGCGCAAUGGGCGAAAGCCUGACGCAGCAACGCCGCGUGAAGGAUGAAGGUUCUCGGAUUGUAAACUUCUGUUAAGUGGGAAGAAAAGCCAGCAAUGGUAUGACGGUACCACUUGAGUAAGCACCGGCUAACUACGUGCCAGCAGCCGCGGUAAUACGUAGGGUGCAAGCGUUGUUCGGAAUUACUGGGCGUAAAGGGAGUGUAGGCGGAAUUGUAAGUUAGGAGUUUAAUCUAUGGGCUUAACCCGUAGUCUGCUCUUAAUACUGCAGUUCUUGAGUAUGGGAGAGGGUGAUGGAAUUCCAGGUGUAGCGGUGGAAUGCGUAGAUAUCUGGAAGAACACCAGUAGCGAAGGCGGUCGCCUGGCCCAAUACUGACGCUGAGGCUCGAAAGCUAGGGGAGCAAACAGGAUUAGAUACCCUGGUAGUCCUAGCCGUAAACGAUGGACACUAGUUGCCGGAGGAGUCAAUCUUUUCGGUGACGAAGCUAACGCAUUAAGUGUCCCGCCUGGGAAGUACGCUCGCAAGAGUGAAACUCAAAGGAAUUGACGAGCCCGCACAAGCGGUGGAGCACGUGCUUUAAUUCGAUGCAACGCGAAGAACCUUACCUGGAUUUGACAUGGGAAUGAAAGAGUUCAGAGAUGAAUUCCCUUCCGCAAGGAACAUUCCACACAGGUGCUGCAUGGUUGUCGUCAGCUCGUGUCGUGAGAUGUUGGGUUAAGUCCCGCAACGAGCGCAACCCUCGCCCUUAGUUGCCAUCAGGUCAUGCUGGGAACUCUAAGGGGACCGCCUAGUUUAACUAGGAGGAAGGUGGGGAUGACGUCAAAUCAUCAUGGCCCUUACGUCCAGGGCUAGACACGUGCUACAAUGGUCGGUACAGCGGGAUGCAAGACGGUGACGUCAAGCUAUCCCUUAAAACCGAUCUCAGUCCGGAUUGAAGUCUGCAAUUCGACUUCAUGAAGCUGGAAUCGCUAGUAAUCGCGGAUCAGCAUGCCGCGGUGAAUACGUUCCCGGGCCUUGUACACACCGCCCGUCAAGCCAUGAAAGAUGGCAGUACCCGAAGUCGCUUCUCUAACCGCAAGGAAGAGUGCGCCGAAGGUAAGGCUGUUAAUUGGGGCUAAGUCGUAACAAGGUA